rnacentral:rRNA from 1 species
UACGUAGGGUGCGAGCGUUGUCCGGAAUUACUGGGCGUAAAGAGCUCGUAGGUGGUUUGUCGCGUUGUCCGUGAAAACUCACAGCUUAACUGUGGGCGUGCGGGCGAUACGGGCAGACUGGAGUACUGCAGGGGAGACUGGAAUUCCUGGUGUAGCGGUGGAAUGCGCAGAUAUCAGGAGGAACACCGGUGGCGAAGGCGGUUCUCUGGGCCUUACCUGACACUGAGGAGCGAAAGCGUGGGGAGCGAACAGG